GUAACGGCGAGUGAAGCGGGAACAGCUCAGACUGAAAAUCCUUUAUUGGAGUUGUAGUCUGCAGAAGUCCAGUCAGCGCGGGCGGCAGGCCAAGUCCCUUGGAAAAGGGCGCCUGAGAGGGUGAUAGCCCCGUUUUUGCCGGCCGCCUUUCAAGUAAUAGCGCGUACGACGGACUUUCAACGAGUCGAGUUGCUUGGGAUUGCAGCUCAAAGUGGGUGGUAAAUUCCAUCUAAGCUAAAUAUCGGUGGGAGACCGAUAGCGAACAAGUACCGUGAGGGAAAGAUGAAAAGCACUUUGAAAAGAGAGUGAAAGAGUACCUGAAAUUGCUGAAAUGGAACCGUAGUGAAGCAGUGUUGGGCUGCACCCAGAGCACCGUUCCGCUUGCGGAUGGUGUGAGGUGGUGUGGCCGAGUCAGGGUGGGUUUGUUGCGCGGGAGAGGGGGGCCGAUUCUUGCUGCGAACGGGCACUUGUGCUCUUUGGCAAGGUGGCAUUUUCCCGCCGUGCGAUAGACUCUGACUAGGCUGUGAAAGCCGUGACCU
rnacentral:rRNA from 1 species